GAUGAACGCUGGCGGCGUGCCUAAUACAUGCAAGUCGAGCGAACGGACGAGAAGCUUUCUUCUCUGAUGUUAGCGGCGGACGGGUGAGUAACACGUGGAUAACCUACCUAUAAGACUGGGAUAACUUCGGGAAACCGGAGCUAAUACCGGAUAAUAUUUUGAACCGCAUGGUUCAAAAGUGAAAGACGGUCUUGCUGUCACUUAUAGAUGGAUCCGCGCUGCAUUAGCUAGUUGGUAAGGUAACGGCUUACCAAGGCAACGAUGCAUAGCCGACCUGAGAGGGUGAUCGGCCACACUGGAACUGAGACACGGUCCAGACUCCUACGGGAGGCAGCAGUAGGGAAUCUUCCGCAAUGGGCGAAAGCCUGACGGAGCAACGCCGCGUGAGUGAUGAAGGUCUUCGGAUCGUAAAACUCUGUUAUUAGGAAAGAACAUAUGUGUAAGUAACUGUGCACAUAUUGACGGUACCUAAUGAGAAAGCCACGGCUAACUACGUG
rnacentral:rRNA from 1 species